AGGUCAGUAGUUCAAUUGGUAGAGCGUCGGUCUCCAAACCCGAAUGUGGGGGUUUCGAGCCCCUCCUGCCCUGCCA
rnacentral:tRNA from 1 species